rnacentral:rRNA from 1 species
CAGUCGCCGCGGUAAUACGAAGGGGGCUAGCGUUGCUCGGAAUCACUGGGCGUAAAGGGCGCGUAGGCGGAUCUUUAAGUCAGAGGUGAAAGCCCAAGGCUCAACCUCGGAAUUGCCUUUGAUACUGGGGAUCUCGAGACCGGUAGAGGUAAGUGGAACUGCGAGUGUAGAGGUGAAAUUCGUAGAUAUUCGCAAGAACACCAGUGGCGAAGGCGGCUUACUGGACCGGUUCUGACGCUGAGGCGCGAAAGCGUGGGGAGCAAACAGGAUUAGAUACCCCCGUAGUCCCUGUCUCUUAUAC